rnacentral:rRNA from 1 species
AUAGAGGCGUUUUCCGUGCCGGACCGUGUCCAAGUUCCUUGGAACAGGAUAUCAAAGAGGGUGACAAUCCCGUACUUGACACGACGACCGGUGCUCUGUGAUACGUCUUCUACGAGUCGAGUUGUUUGGGAAUGCAGCUCAAGAUGGGUGGUGAGUUCCAUCUAAAGCUAAAUAUUGGCGAGAGACCGAUAGCGAACAAGUACCGUGAGGGAAAGAUGAAAAGCACUUUGGAAAGAGAGUUAAACAGUACGUGAAAUUGUUGAAAGGGAAACGAUUGAAGUCAGUCGUGACCGAGAGGCCCAGCCGGUUCUGCCGGUGUAUUCCCCUCGGUCGGGUCAACAUCAGUUUUGUCCGGUGGAUAAGGGCGGUAGGAAGGUGGCACCCUCGGGUGUGUUAUAGCCUGCCGUCGCAUACAUCGGGUGAGACUGAGGAACGCAGCUCGCCUUUAUGGCCGGGGUUCGCCCACGUCCGAGCUUAGGAUGUUGACAUAAUGGCUU